rnacentral:rRNA from 1 species
ACCUACGGGGCGCAGCAGUGAGGAAUAUUGGUCAAUGGCCGGAAGGCUGAACCAGCCAAGCCGCGUGAAGGACGAAGGUGCCAAGCAUUGUAAACUUCUUUUGUCAAGGGACAAAAUCAGGCUCGAGAGCCUGACCGAGGGUACUUGAAGAAAAAGCAUCGGCUAACUCCGUGCCAGCAGCCGCGGUAAUACGGAGGAUGCGAGCGUUAUCCGGAUUCACUGGGUGUAAAGGGAGCGUAGACGGCCAAGCAAGCCAGGGGUGAAAGCCCGGGGCCCAACCCCGGGACUGCCCUUGGAACUGCUUG